CCCAAGAGAUCGGGAUAACACCUGGAAACAGAUGCUAAUACCGGAUAAUAACAGAUGAUGCCUAUCAACUGUUUAAAAGAUGGUUCUGCUAUCACUCUUGGAUGGACCUGCGGUGCAUUAGCUAGUUGGUAGGGUAACGGCCUACCAAGGCGAUGAUGCAUAGCCGAGUUGAGAGACUGAUCGGCCACAUUGGGACUGAGACACGACCCAAACUCCUACGGGAGGCAGCAGUA
rnacentral:rRNA from 1 species